rnacentral:tRNA from 1 species
GCGGAUAUAGCUCAGUUGGGUAGAGCAAUCGAUGCCACUCGAUCGGCCGGAGGUUCGAAUCCUCCUAUCCUCA